rnacentral:lncRNA from 1 species
AUGAAGAGAGAAACAGAGAAUGACCAUUCACCGCUGCUUGGUCCCCUCCCGCGGCCAUGGAAGGGAGUCCCCUCCCUCCUCUCCUGCAGCCUCCUGUGCUGGACCCCAGGGCAACGUCGGGAAAAGGGGCCAGAGCCUGUAGGAGAGACCGACUCAUUCCCUUCCAGUAACUGCUCCUUAAGCCCCAACAAGGCCCAGGAAACACGGACCCUGAUCUGUCGGAUCGAUUUUAUCAGGAAGCUCUCUUCCCCUCCUGGUCAUUCUGUGGCCAUUUUUAGACAGUGGCCAGCGGCUCGGGCAGGCCCUUCCGCCACCGUCACAGAAAGCAGAGUACAGCCUGUUUGUCCAAAUGGGACAGAUGCGUCCUUGCAGAGGGCGAGAGGAGCCUGCUGAGCGGGGCCGGCUCUGCGAAACCAGAUCUGUUUUUCUGGACACAUGACCUGCCUUUUCCUCUUCUGCUCAGUUCUCUCCUCUUUCGCACAAAUACCGGGGAAACACGGGCUGGAGGCGGUGGGCUGCAAGCUGCUGCUUCCCCUGGAGAAUGUUUUCCUCUUGUUUGCAAGGAAGAGUCCAAUUUCUGAUGAAAACAAGCUCGAGUCACAGCAGCCAGGGCAGAGAGUGAGGUCAGUGUGGGGCUGAGCUAAUGGGUGGAGGGACACGGCCGUUCCAACACUGCAACGUGGGAUCCAUUAGAAUUUCCACCAGGGCAGGAGGGGACGAGAGUAGAGUCACGCAGGCUGGGCCUUACCCCCACCGGCCAAAACGCGCACUCGACAGCGCCAGCCAGAGCCGUGCUUUUAAACACAGAUAUUAUUUAAUCAGACUUAAUUCUGCCAUGCUAGCCUCUUGACAGGGGGCUUUUUCUGCCAGUGGGAUUAAGGACUGGCUCCUCUCUGGAAUGCGGACCAGGCGGCCUGUGCCAAUGGGAGACACCUGUAACUAACCAGAGGCACCUGUAAUCACCAGCGGGCGGAGGACUUGGGAAAUUCUUUUCAGCAAUUCAGAUUAACCAAACACUUGACCAGGUGCUGGGAGUUGCCAGGGCUGGGUGUGAGAGCAGCCUGGGUCCCACGUACCCACUCUCUAAUGGGAAAUAAGGGAGUUUUCUGCGUGGGCCCCCCAGGAUGCACUGUUUGUCAAGGGGCUGGAAAUGGUACAGAAAUAGCUGGGAGACAAUGCUUUCAGCUGGCACGCGAGUGGGGAACAGCGCUGCCGUGUGAAUAGGGAAACCAAGACAGGCCGUGGGCGGGGGGAUGUCACGCGGACCCCGGAAAGAGGGUACGGACUCCUGAGCCCUGUGCCCGCCUUGCAGACCCCCCUCCGUGGGGGCUGCCAGAGAAACUGAGGCCUGGGGGAACCCCGCCGUUGGGGGGCCCAGGCUCCGGGGGCCAAA